rnacentral:rRNA from 1 species
CCUACGGGCGGCAGCAGUGGGGAAUAUUGCACAAUGGAGGAAACUCUGAUGCAGCGACGCCGCGUGAAGGAUGAAGUAUUUCGGUAUGUAAACUUCUAUCAGCAGGGAAGAAAAUGACGGUACCUGACUAAGAAGCCCCGGCUAACUACGUGCCAGCAGCCGCGGUAAUACGUAGGGGGCAAGCGUUAUCCGGAUUUACUGGGUGUAAAGGGAGCGUAGACGGCACGGCAAGCCAGAUGUGAAAGCCCGGGGCUCAACCCCGGGACUGCAUUGGAAACUGCCCGUCUUGAGUGCCGGAGAGGUAAGCGGAAUUCCUAGUGUAGCGGUGAAAUGCGUAGAUAUUAGGAGGAACACCAGUGGCGAAGGCGGCUUACUGGACUGUAACUGACGCUGAUGCUCGAAAGUGUGGGUAUCAAACAGGAUU